CACCUUUGGACAUCGGUCGAUAACCCGACGUUAUAACUUCAGAUGUUUACCCUAACUUACUGUGCCUGCUGUAAUAUUUUUGCUGGCUACCGUUUCCCCUCGACUUCACAGUUGCAUAACUAAUUAAAGCUUACAAGAUCUGUACGUGGGAAACCAACUAUUAUGGAUAUGGAUGUCGAGCAGCUUUGGUUGGACCGUCAAAUUAUUUAGGUUACAUCCUAUUUUCUCUCUCCCAUCUCUGCCUUGAUUACUUUUUCUAUCUCUAUACACAAUCUUUCUUGAGUGCUGAAAACCUUACAUCUAAACUCACACAAACCAAAGAUGUCAGAUGUAUUCAUUGACCUUGUGAAGGUAAACCCCUAUUAUGAAUUUAACUUUUUUUGUGA
ensembl:lncRNA